GGGCGCAUGGCUCAGUUGGUUAGAGCGCCGCGUUCACAUCGCGGAGAUCGCUGGUUCGACUCCAGCUGCGCCCA
rnacentral:tRNA from 1 species